rnacentral:lncRNA from 1 species
CCAUACGAUGCUCAUUUCCCGAUUCUGUCCUAGUUUUUGUAGGGUAAAUUCUAUAGUUAAUGUUUCAUCAGCAAUAGGCUAAGAUAAAUGGUUACUAGAUGAAAAUAGUUGUAAUCUAUAGGAGUGGCGUGAUUUUGAAGAAUGUAGGACUUGGAAGACCUUUAGAGUUGCCAAUGCUCUAUAAGUAAUUUCUGCCUGCCGGAUGACUGACUGUAACUAACACAAUUUAUUUGAUUGUAAUUUUGUGAACUCUUUAGGAAUUAACCAAAGCUGGUUUUGCUGAUUACUCGGGUGUAGAAUUAAAUGGCUUCUGCUGAGUUGAAUGCUUAAUUGACUUCACAUUUCUUUUGUUGUGAAUGAUUUAUUCAACGGUGCUGCGACUCGACUCUGUCUGAGCUUAAUUCCUCCUCAAUAGGUAUUUGCUACAUGCUUUGUUAUGUGUAGGUUGAUUGAAGUUAGGCUGCCAAUAGUCGUCGUCAUUACAUGAAAAAGCGUAUUCGUGGUUUUGUUUGAAAAUCUGUUGGAGUUGCAAUUAUUUCUUGGGACAAGCUCAUCUUCAAAUGUUUGAACGGUUGAGUAAGUUUGGUUAAAAAUGAUAGAUAACGUUAUAAACUUCGUCAAUUGUUUAGUCGUGUUAGGUCCAAAGACCAACUUGCCUGUUCACUGACGUUUAAGCUGGGAAUGUAGGGUUUGGCAGCGGAAAAUACAAUCGAACAACGAUUAGGCUCGAGUGUCCCACUUCGUUUGGAGUUGGAGGCGGUCUGAGAAUGUCUUGUUCGUCUAUCGUUAAAGUAAGAAGUGAGCUUAAAAAUAGUGAAUUUUUUGAGAACAUGUUGUUAGAAUGUAAGGAAAAAAUUUUGGUUUACAUGUAAAAUAUUUUGUUAUAAGAAUGUGUGGUUGAAAACGAGUUUAAUAAAAAAGAGUUUUAAAAUAAUGGUAGACAACUAGAGGCUAAAGUAUAUUGGCAAUUUUAUCGUUUAUCACUUACCUGCCGUGACCCUAAUUUCAUAAAGG